UCCUGGUGGCUCAGGUAAAAGCACCUGUUUGCAAUGCAGGAGACCCAAGUUCAAUCCCUGGGUCGGGAA
rnacentral:tRNA from 1 species